rnacentral:lncRNA from 1 species
CAGCUCAUUAAUUAGCUGAAUAACUAAUUACAACCUAGGCUGUUGCCAAUCUGGAUAUUAAUUAGCUCAUUAACUAUUAAUUAAUUCUGACCCACUAUGAUAAAUAAAAGAAGGAAAAGAGAUUAAAACGUCACUAAUUAUGCAAAUUAGCAGCUCAUUAACUACCGACCUAUCCAGGUAAUUAACUCAUUAAUUGCUAAUUAAUCACAUCCGAUAAUAAUUAAUAAUGGAAUAGAAGAGAACCAGUGCUCCCAGUUCAAACCAGUAACGCCCAAGAUCCAAACCAGUUCAAACCAGUUCAAACCAGUUCAAACCAGUUCAAACCAGUAGCCCCUCCCAGUGCUCCCAGUUCAAACCAGUAACCCUCCCAGUUCCCCUCAGACCCCUCCCAGUCCAUCCCAGUUCAUCCCAGUCCCUCCCAGUUCAUCCCAGUAACCCCCCAGACCCCUCCCAGUUCCCCUCAGAGCCCUCCCAGUCCAUCCCAGUUCAUCCCAGUCCGGCCCUCACCGCCCUCAGCGCUCCCCUCACGACCCUCGCACCCCCCCCAGUCCAUCCCAGUCCAUCCCAGUCCAUCCCAGUCCAUCCCAGUCCAUCCCAGUUUAUCCCAGUACCCCCCCCAGCGCUCCCAGUCCCUCCCAGUCCCUCCCAGUCCAUCCCAGUUCUCCCAGUACGUCCCAGCUCUCAAAGUCACUUUCAGCCCCGCUCUCCGCUCGCCGGAACCAACGAGACGCGACGGAAGCGACGGAGAGUCGCCGGAAAUGACGUCACUAAAGACCACAGAGAGCAGGCUUCAGGCCGGAGCGUCUCCUCCGGGAGGAAAAAUGGCGGCGGCGCCCACCCGGGAGUCCGCCGGAACUGCCCCGAAACGGCGCCAAAACGCCGCGAGCCGCCAAAAAAAACUGUUAGAGCCCCAAAAUCGCCAUUUUUACCCCCAAAUCGCCUUUUCCACCCCCAAUCUCCCAUUUUCGUCCCAAAAUCGCCAUUUUUUACCUCAAAAUCCCCUCAGGGUCCUCCCUGAGGCGCUCUGAGGGCACUUCCGCCAGAAAGUGGGCGGGGUCAGAGCGUCUGGAGCAGGGAUGCGCAUGCGCGAGGCAUGGGGAGGGGAAGCUGAUUGUGGCGUCAUUUCCGGUUCCGGCAGAGGCGCGCGGGCCACGCGUGGAGAGAGCGGCGCGAUGAGGCCCGGUGGGAACUGGG